rnacentral:rRNA from 1 species
GCGCACCAGUCGAGAAUCUUCCACAAUGGACGAAAGUCUGAUGGAGCGACGCCGCGUGCGGGAUGAAGGCCUUAUGGGUUGUAAACCGCUGUCAGGGGGGAAGAACAUCGGAAUGAACAAUACUCAUUCCGACUGACGUUACCCCCAGAGGAAGCUCCGGCCAACUCCGGUGCCAGCAAGCCGCGGUAAUACGGGGGGAGCAAGCGUUGUCCGGAAUUAUUGGGCGUAAAGGGCGUGUAGGCGGCGAGGUAAGUCGAAUGUGAAAUCUCACGGGCUCAACCGUGAAACUGCGUUCGAAACUACCCUGCUUGAGUACGGGAGAGGUGUACGGAAUUCCUGGUGUAGCGGUGGAAUGCGUAGAUAUCA